GGGUUGUGAGGUUAAGCGACUAAGCGUACACGGUGGAUGCCCUGGCAGUCAGAGGCGAUGAAGGACGUGCUAAUCUGCGAUAAGCGUCGGUAAGGUGAUAUGAACCGUUAUAACCGGCGAUUUCCGAAUGGGGAAACCCAGUGUGUUUCGACACACUAUCAUUAACUGAAUCCAUAGGUUAAUGAGGCGAACCGGGGGAACUGAAACAUCUAAGUACCCCGAGGAAAAGAAAUCAACCGAGAUUCCCCCAGUAGCGGCGAGCGAACGGGGAGCAGCCCAGAGCCUGAAUCAGUGUGUGUGUUAGUGGAAGCGUCUGGAAAGGCGCGCGAUACAGGGUGACAGCCCCGUACACAAAAAUGCACAUACUGUGAGCUCGAUGAGUAGGGCGGGACACGUGGUAUCCUGUCUGAAUAUGGGGGGACCAUCCUCCAAGGCUAAAUACUCCUGACUGACCGAUAGUGAACCAGUACCGUGAGGGAAAGGCGAAAAGAACCCCGGCGAGGGGAGUGAAAAAGAACCUGAAACCGUGUACGUACAAGCAGUGGGAGCACGCUUCGGCGUGUGACUGCGUACCUUUUGUAUAAUGGGUCAGCGACUUAUAUUCUGUAGCAAGGUUAACCGAAUAGGGGAGCCGAAGGGAAACCGAGUCUUAACUGGGCGUUAAGUUGCAGGGUAUAGACCCGAAACCCGGUGAUCUAGCCAUGGGCAGGUUGAAGGUUGGGUAACACUAACUGGAGGACCGAACCGACUAAUGUUGAAAAAUUAGCGGAUGACUUGUGGCUGGGGGUGAAAGGCCAAUCAAACCGGGAGAUAGCUGGUUCUCCCCGAAAGCUAUUUAGGUAGCGCCUCGUGAAUUCAUCUCCGGGGGUAGAGCACUGUUUCGGCAAGGGGGUCAUCCCGACUUACCAACCCGAUGCAAACUGCGAAUACCGGAGAAUGUUAUCACGGGAGACACACGGCGGGUGCUAACGUCCGUCGUGAAGAGGGAAACAACCCAGACCGCCAGCUAAGGUCCCAAAGUCAUGGUUAAGUGGGAAACGAUGUGGGAAGGCCCAGACAGCCAGGAUGUUGGCUUAGAAGCAGCCAUCAUUUAAAGAAAGCGUAAUAGCUCACUGGUCGAGUCGGCCUGCGCGGAAGAUGUAACGGGGCUAAACCAUGCACCGAAGCUGCGGCAGCGACACUAUGUGUUGUUGGGUAGGGGAGCGUUCUGUAAGCCUGUGAAGGUGUGCUGUGAGGCAUGCUGGAGGUAUCAGAAGUGCGAAUGCUGACAUAAGUAACGAUAAAGCGGGUGAAAAGCCCGCUCGCCGGAAGACCAAGGGUUCCUGUCCAACGUUAAUCGGGGCAGGGUGAGUCGACCCCUAAGGCGAGGCCGAAAGGCGUAGUCGAUGGGAAACAGGUUAAUAUUCCUGUACUUGGUGUUACUGCGAAGGGGGGACGGAGAAGGCUAUGUUGGCCGGGCGACGGUUGUCCCGGUUUAAGCGUGUAGGCUGGUUUUCCAGGCAAAUCCGGAAAAUCAAGGCUGAGGCGUGAUGACGAGGCACUACGGUGCUGAAGCAACAAAUGCCCUGCUUCCAGGAAAAGCCUCUAAGCAUCAGGUAACAUUAAAUCGUACCCCAAACCGACACAGGUGGUCAGGUAGAGAAUACCAAGGCGCUUGAGAGAACUCGGGUGAAGGAACUAGGCAAAAUGGUGCCGUAACUUCGGGAGAAGGCACGCUGAUAUGUAGGUGAAGUCCCUCGCGGAUGGAGCUGAAAUCAGUCGAAGAUACCAGCUGGCUGCAACUGUUUAUUAAAAACACAGCACUGUGCAAACACGAAAGUGGACGUAUACGGUGUGACGCCUGCCCGGUGCCGGAAGGUUAAUUGAUGGGGUUAGCGGUAACGCGAAGCUCUUGAUCGAAGCCCCGGUAAACGGCGGCCGUAACUAUAACGGUCCUAAGGUAGCGAAAUUCCUUGUCGGGUAAGUUCCGACCUGCACGAAUGGCGUAAUGAUGGCCAGGCUGUCUCCACCCGAGACUCAGUGAAAUUGAACUCGCUGUGAAGAUGCAGUGUACCCGCGGCAAGACGGAAAGACCCCGUGAACCUUUACUAUAGC
rnacentral:rRNA from 1 species